rnacentral:rRNA from 1 species
AGCGAACGCUGGCGGCAGGCCUAACACAUGCAAGUCGAACGGAUCCUUCGGGAUUAGUGGCGGACGGGUGAGUAGCACGUGGGAACGUGCCCUUUGGUUCGGAACAACUCAGGGAAACUUGAGCUAAUACCGGAUGUGCCCUUCGGGGGAAAGAUUUAUCGCCAUCGGAGAGGCCCGCGUCUGAUUAGCUAGUUGGUGAGGUAAAGGCUCACCAAGGCGACGAUCAGUAGCUGGUCUGAGAGGAUGAUCAGCCACAUUGGGACUGAGACACUGCCCAAACUCCUACGGGAGGCAGCAGUGGGGAAUCUUGCGCAAUGGGCGAAAGCCUGACGCAGCCAUGCCGCGUGAAUGAUGAAGGUCUUAGGAUUGUAAAAUUCUUUCACCGGGGACGAUAAUGACGGUACCCGGAGAAGAAGCCCCGGCUAACUUCGUGCCAGCAGCCGCCGUAAUAC